GUCCUCCUGAUCUCCGUGAUCCUCUCCCGGCGGCUCCGUUUCCAGGCACUAGACAGAAGGGCUCCACGGGCUCCAGGCAGCUCGCAUCUUCCUGCAACCAUUAAAGCAAUCCUAAAAGGCGAAUUACUCAGAACUAAAAGGAACUGUUCUGUUGAGAAGAUAUACCUAACACGUGAGAAACAGCUGCUGACGUUUCCAGUUACCAUGCAGGAAGACAGGUAGGAGGAGAUCAUUAUAUGUAUUCUGGCAAAGAGAUUUGCAGAGUGCUGGGUGACCGGCAAAGAGAUCUGCAAAGUGUCAGCAAGACGACGGGAGGGGUCGCAGAGGUAGCAAGGACUGGAGUACAACAUGCAGGAGAUCAUCAUUUGGCAAAAGUUCUGGCAAAGAGAUUUGCAGAGUGUCGGGUUACCGGCAAAGAGAUCUGCAAAGUGUCAGUUGAAGACGACGGGAGGGGUCGCAGAGGCAGCAAGGACUGGAGGAUAGCAUGCAGGAGUGGGUGAUCCCUGAAUAACUGCCCUGGGUGGAGAGCCUGCGGACUCCUGCUCCAAAUGUUGGGACAUAUGCAUUACCUAUUAGGAAAUGUGGUAAAGAUGCCAGCGGUCGGGUUUACGGCAGUCAGAAUACUGACACUGGGAUCCCGACACUCUUCAGAAUCCCAAUGUUGGAACUCCGAGUGUACACGGAUACUGAUGCCUCUAUCCCCACGAUCUUAGGUUUAGGGAGGGGGUUAGGUUUAGGCAUCAGGCA